rnacentral:rRNA from 1 species
GACGAACGCUGGCGGCGUGCUUAACACAUGCAAGUCGAACGGAAAGGCCCUGCUUUUGUGGGGUGCUCGAGUGGCGAACGGGUGAGUAACACGUGAGUAACCUGCCCUUGACUUUGGGAUAACUUCAGGAAACUGGGGCUAAUACCGGAUUGGAGCUCCUGCUGCAUGGUGGGGGUUGGAAAGUUUCGGCGGUUGGGGAUGGACUCGCGGCUUAUCAGCUUGUUGGUGGGGUAGUGGCUUACCAAGGCUUUGACGGGUAGCCGGCCUGAGAGGGUGACCGGCCACAUUGGGACUGAGAUACGGCCCAGACUCCUACGGGAGGCAGCAGUGGGGAAUAUUGCACAAUGGGCGGAAGCCUGAUGCAGCAACGCCGCGUGCGGGAUGACGGCCUUCGGGUUGUAAACCGCUUUCGCCUGUGGCGAAGCGUGAGUGACGGUAAUGGGUAAAGAAGCACCGGCUAACUACGUG